GUUCGACACCUGCUCUCAUAGCGUGGACACCUUACGCCUCAUGCAUCAACGAGGGAUAUGGUGAUGACGAUGGCGUCUCUAGCGUCCUUCGUUAUAGUGGCUACAGUGACGUCAACAGUCCUCGGUCAGGAGUCGUCGCGUCAUGAACUUCUGCGAGGUCAUCAGAUAUGGCAGUUGUCAGGCGACGGAGGAGCUGUGUCCUUCGAGCUCAUGCAGAAGGGAUUGAUGGACGUCCUAGGCCACUCCAGGACGUCCAGGAGGUGCGUUCC
rnacentral:lncRNA from 1 species